GACGAACGCUGGCGGCGUGCUUAACACAUGCAAGUCGAACGAGAACGCCCGGCCUUGUUGGGUUCGGGUAGGUGCGACCGGGUGAGUAGCACGUGAGUACCCUGCCCUUCACUGUGGGAUAACCUCAUGAAACAGGGGCUAAUACCGGAUAAGAGCUCCUGCCUCAUGGUGGGCGUUGGAAAGUUUAGCCGGUUGGUGAUGGACUCGCGGCGCAUCAGAUUGUUGGUGGGGUAGUGUCUGACCAUGGCCUGGACGGGUAGCCGGCCUGAGAGGGGGACCGGACACACUGGGACUGAGAUACGGCACAGCCUCCUACGGGAGGCAGCAGUGGGGAAUAUUGCACAAUGGGCGGAAGCCUGAUGCAGCCACGCAGUGUGGGGGAUGACGGCAUUCGGUUUGUAUACCGCUUUCGUCUGACACGAAGCGAGAGUGACGGUACCGGGAGAAGAAGCACCGGCUAACUACGUG
rnacentral:rRNA from 1 species